UUUGAGACAAUGGAUGGUGGCGGUGAUGGAGGGAAACGGGAGGAUAUAGUCCCAAACAGGCGCCACCCGGUUGACUUCAAACUUAGGAGGAUUUCUGAUGAUACCAGGAAAGUGAAGUUUUCAAGAUGAUCAUUUAUCGAGACCUUAACCCCAAUAUUUAUUUUAUUUUGCAUGCACUUGAUACUAAUCAUGGUAACCAUGUUUGAAAUGAGACACAACCCACAGAAUGUAGAGAUUGUGAGUUUGUAAAUAGAGACCCUUGACCCCAAAUACACUAUUGUAACAAUGCCACGCUCCGACACAGGAACAUUUUAAACCUGCAAAAAAAUGGUCACGAGACGUUGAGACAUUAAAACUAUCAUUUUGUCUUUAUUUACAAAAAGAAAAUCAACAGACAUUCUAGUUUCUAUAAUAUUAUGGUUUAAAAAUAGAUUUAAAAAAUCUGAGAAAGUAACUCAGUAGAACGAACAAGAAGACUGGUGGUUUCUGUUCAAGAAUUGAGAAUAUCUAACUCAGCAUUCAAAAGUUAUUCUAAUAUGCAUUAAGAAUGACACAAAACCGAAGCCCUUUUCUUAUGUGUGAUGGUAGAUUCCUAAAAAAAACCCAGUAACUACCACCAGUUACACCCAACAGCGGAAGCCAUC